GUGUGAAGUACUCAGAGGAUUUAAUCUAACCAGAGAAGGUGAAAACCAAAGAAGGUGAAAACUAAGAAUGGGCAGUCCUGGGAAAAAGCGUCUACUAUGAUUGGUAGAUGUGAAAAUUUAGGGGAGGUGACAUAAGAAAAAAUCUCUUUAAAAGGAGGGGAAGGAAUAGUUCAGGGACAAUUGAAUUCAGUUUGAGUUACAGUUGAAUUCAGUUUGGAGAGUAAUUUCAGUUCAGAGUGGAAGAACCCAGCUUGGAGAUGAUCUUGUGGUGCUCAAACACCUGUGAUUUAAUUGAUAUGGACAACUGUAUUGAUUGUGUUCUCUGACCAAAUCCCAACCAAGAGGAAAUAGAAAGAGCACUCCAUUUGAAUGCAGAAGAGCUGAGUUUGUUUCACAGCUUGCUUAUUAGCCUUGUGACUUUGGUGGAGGCUGGUAAAGAAUUUGCUGACUGGAUCCAAGACAUGGUGAGUGAAAGGCUGACUCCUUUCAUAUUGGAUUUUCUGAAGAGACUAGCCUCAGGAGAGACUUCCCCAGGUCCUUGGCUCUGCCUAGACCUAAGGACUAAC
rnacentral:lncRNA from 1 species